ACUCCUACGGGAGGCAGCAGUAAGGAAUAUUGGUCAAUGGACGCAAGUCUGAACCAGCCAUGCCGCGUGAAGGAUGAAGGUCCUCUGGAUUGUAAACUUCUUUUAUAUGGGGCGAAACAGCGGAUUUCUAUCUGCCUUGACGGUACCAUAUGAAUAAGCACCGGCUAACUCCGUGCCAGCAGCCGCGGUAAUACGGAGGGUGCAAGCGUUAUCCGGAUUCACUGGGUUUAAAGGGUGCGUAGGCGGGCAUGUAAGUCAGUGGUGAAAUCCUGGAGCUUAACUCCAGAACUGCCAUUGAUACUAUAUGUCUUGAAUUUCCUGGAGGUUAGCGGAAUAUGUCAUGUAGCGGUGAAAUGCUUAGAUAUGACAUAGAACACCUAUUGCGAAGGCAGCUGACUACGGGUAGAUUGACGCUGAGGCACGAAAGCGUGGGGAUCAAACAGGAUUAGAUACCCUGGUAGGCGUAGUAAAGUCGUGGGGGA
rnacentral:rRNA from 1 species